CGGACGGGUGAGUAACGCGUGAGAAUCUAGCUUCAGGUCGGGGACAACCACGGGAAACUGUGGCUAAUACCGGAUAUGCCGAGAGGUGAAAGGCUUGCUGCCUGAAGAUGAGCUCGCGUCUGAUUAGCUAGUAGGUGUGGUAAAAGCGCACCUAGGCGACGAUCAGUAGCUGGUCUGAGAGGAUGAUCAGCCACACUGGGACUGAGACACGGCCAGACUCCUACGGGAGGCAGCAGUGGGGAAUUUUCCGCAAUGGGCGAAAGCCUGACGGAGCAAUACCGCGUGAGGGAGGAAGGCUCUUGGGUUGUAAACCUCUUUUCUCAGGGAAGAAAAAAAUGACGGUACCUGAGGAAUAAGCAUCGGCUAACUCCGUGCCAGCAGCCGCGGUAAUACGGAGGAUGCAAGCGUUAUCCGGAAUGAUUGGGCGUAAAGCGUUCGUAGGCGGCUGUUCAAGUCUGCUGUCAAAGACCGAGGCUCAACCUCGGGUCGGCAGUGGAAACUGGAUAGCUAGAGGUCGGUAGGGGCAGAGGGAAUUCCUGGUGUAGCGGUGAAAUGCGUAGAUAUCAGGAAGAACACCAGUGGCGAAGGCGCUCUACUAGGCCGCAACUGACACUGAGGGACGAAAGCUAGGGGAGCGAAUGGGAUUAGAUACCCCAGUAGUC
rnacentral:rRNA from 1 species